UGAGGAAUUGUUCGCAAUGGGCGCAAGCCUGACGACGCAAUGCCGCGUGGAGGAUGAAGGACCUCGGUUCGUAAACUCCUUUCGAUCGGGACGAAUACCCUUAACCUAAUACGUUAAGGUUUGACGGUACCGGAAUAAGAAGCCCCGGCUAACUCUGUGCCAGCAGCCGCGGUAAUACAGGGGGGGCGAGCGUUGUUCGGAAUUACUGGGCGUAAAGGGCGCGUAGGCGGCCCAUUUAGUCGGACGUGAAAUCCCCGAGCUUAACUCGGGAACUGCGUCCGAUACUGGUGGGCUUGAAUCCGGGAGAGGGAUGUGGAAUUCCAGGUGUAGCGGUGAAAUGCGUAGAUAUCUGGGGGAACACCGGUGGCGAAGGCGACAUCCUGGACCGGUAUUGACGCUGAGGCGCGAAAGCCAGGGUAGCAAACGGG
rnacentral:rRNA from 1 species